rnacentral:snRNA from 1 species
AUAAGAUUUUAAUUUUUCUUCAUCUGAAUUGAAACAGAGAAGAUUAGCAUGGCCCCUGCGCAAAUAUUUAGAAUGAUUACAAAAAAGAAUUCACAGUGAA